GGUCCUCUCUCUCCUCCAAAACCACGACAAAACUCUUACCAGUUUUUUUUGGGCUAAUGAACCAUCUGUUCGAUCAAACCCUUAUUCCUCUCUCUCUCUCUCUCUCUCUCUCAUCAACUCAAUUCAAAAUCCCAAAUACCAAAUGCUAUUAAAUAAAUUUGAUGAUGCAGGACGGUCUAUUGGGUGUCGGACUUGGAAGCAUACUCACUGGAAUCCGACGAAGCAUCUACAACUCCAUUUCUGAGGGACGUCGCUUUGCGAUCUUGGUAAUAUAGGUUGAUUUUGAUUUGGGUGGGUUGUUAAUAAUUUGGUGUGGACUUUUGAAUAGGUGGGAUUCUGGGUCGACUGUCGGGGACUUUGAUGGGCAUUCGAAACGGGUUUUGAGCUGUUGUUUUAAGCCAACAAGACCCUUUCGCAUUGUCACAUGCGGUGAGGAUUUCCUGGUAAAUUUCUAUGAAGGGCCUCCUUUCAAAUUCAAGCAGUCUCACAGAUGGGAGUAAGUUUAUCACUGUAAGCUCAGAUAAGAAGGGUCUUAUUUUUGAUGGGAAGACUGCGGAGAAGAUCGGAGAGCUUUCAUCGAAAGAUGGCCACAAAGGCAGCAUUUAUGCUCUUAGCUGGAGUCCUGAUGGCAAACAGAUUUUGACUGUGUCCGCUGACAAGUCGGCGAAAGUAUGGGAUAUAUGUGAGGAUGGUAAUGGGAAGGUGAAUUAAACAUUGACAUGUCCUGGAUCAGGUGGAGUGGAUGACAUGCUUGUUGGUGGCCUAUGGCAGAAUGAUCAUAUAGUUACUGUUUCACUUGGUGUUGAUCAGGAAAGGGGUGAGGAAGAGCCUCCGCAGACGAGAGAGGAGAGUAGGGAUCGAUUGGCGGUGAGGUUGGUUCGGGCUGAGAUGGGCGCGAACCCAGUCGACUAGUGCUCGAACCCAUUUCAGAAAUGAAUAAAGAGAUUGAGAUUGAUGAUAAUGGAAGCACGACCUAACUAAGAACGAAGGGUCAGAGAGAGAGAGAGACAGAGACAGGAUCUAAAAAGAAAAAUCUGACAUUGAGGGUAUUUGAGGAAGUGCCAAAAAUGUUGAGUUGAAAUAUUAUUAAAAAAGUGAAGGGGUGUGUAGUUUGCAAAUAGGGGUGUGCAAAUUUCACCUCCCUAGAUUAAUUGGACAACAUAGUGACUGAAGGAACGAUCAUUCAAGUGGAUGUUGAGUCCAGCAAGCAAACUAUCCAUGGUGUUCCAUUGGCUGAGGAAAAUGUCCUAGUGUCGAUCACCAAAUCUAUUGUUGCUAAAGCUUUGAUACCAAUUCCUAUUAAAGAUGAGAUUCUAUUUGUCCGCGAUGCAAUUGGUACAUGCAUUGCUUGGCCUAGAGACUGGGUUAUACCCACUGCAACUGAUGCAAAGCAACAAAACCAGGCUUGCAGGGUUUGACAAAAGAAAAAGAGAAUAAACUCAAGUUGUCGGUGAUGGAUAUGCAGAUAGGAAAUAAUGAAAAUGAUUGCAGGCCUCGCAUUAAACAUAAAAUGAAUAUCCAACUA